UGGAACUGAAAGGAGAAGAAAAAGGAUUCUGGACAUGUGCACAGAAGACACAUAGACCGGAAAUUCUAUCUUUAGCUUGGGAAUCUACGUUCAUUACUUCUCUCUCUUGGCUGGCACAUGGGCAUCCUGCCUGGAAACCUCUACCAGGACCUGAAAUAUGGAUUGCUCCAAAGCCUGUGAAUGUUCCAAAUGUCAUCCUAAAUUAGUAAGUGUCUUUAAAUCUUCACUCUUUUGCCACAUUUUAGAAAUGUUUAUUGCACAUCAUAAAUCUUAUUCAUAUCCACAUAAAUUGAGUCCCCAGCCACGAGGGAGACGCCUUCCUCUACUCGAAGAUCUAAGGUUUUGACAUCAAAUAUUGUGAUUGGAACAAAGGAAGACUCUUGCAGAGGAAACUCAUUUGAGGAUGUAAUACUCUUUCUACCUCCUGUUGGUAUGAAAAAAUUUAAUAUCUCUGAAAUUUUGUUUAGUGAAUUUGAGGGAGGGUGAAAUAAAUUGUCAAGUUCCCCAGUGACUGCUUUCAUAAGUCAUCUUUACUGCUACCUCUAAGUUCCGAUUGCAA
rnacentral:sRNA from 1 species